rfam:Tropilaelaps mercedesae isolate Wuxi-XJTLT scaffold0000001366, whole genome shotgun sequence.
UAUGCGGCUUUACUAAAAGCCACAUAAGGUAUGAGGCAGUUUUUGG